rnacentral:rRNA from 1 species
UGCCAGACUCCUACGGGAGGCAGCAGUGAGGAAUAUUGGUCAAUGGCCGGGAGGCUGAACCAGCCAAGUCGCGUGAGGGAAGACGGCCCUACGGGUUGUAAACCUCUUUUGUCAGGGAGCAGGGUGCAGGUCGGGACCUGCUGUGAGAGUACCUGAAGAAAAAGCAUCGGCUAACUCCGUGCCAGCAGCCGCGGUAAUACGGAGGAUGCGAGCGUUAUCCGGAUUUAUUGGGUUUAAAGGGUGCGCAGGCGGAGGCACAAGUCAGCGGUAAAAUUGCGGGGCUCACCCCCGUCGAGCCGUUGAAACUGGCAGACUUGAGUUGGCGAGAAGUACGCGGAAUGCGUGGUGUAGCGGUGAAAUGCAUAGAUAUCACGCAGAACUCCGAUUGCGAAGGCAGCAUACCGGCGCCCAACUGACGCUGAAGCACGAAAGCGUGGGUAUCGAACAGGAUUAGAUACCCCAGUA